rnacentral:rRNA from 1 species
CCUACGGGGGGCUGCAGUGGGGAAUAUUGGACAAUGGGGGCAACCCUGAUCCAGUCAUGCCGCGUGUGUGAAGAAGGCCCUCGGGUUGUAAAGCACUUUCAGUGAGGAAGAACGCCUGGUGGUUAAUACCCAUCAGGAAAGACAUCACUCACAGAAGAAGCACCGGCUAACUCCGUGCCAGCAGCCGCGGUAAUACGGAGGGUGCGAGCGUUAAUCGGAAUUACUGGGCGUAAAGCGCGCGUAGGUGGCUUGAUAAGCCGGUUGUGAAAGCCCCGGGCUCAACCUGGGAACGGCAUCCGGAACUGUCAAGCUAGAGUGCAGGAGAGGAAGGUAGAAUUCCCGGUGUAGCGGUGAAAUGCGUAGAGAUCGGGAGGAAUACCAGUGGCGAAGGCGGCCUUCUGGACUGACACUGACACUGAGGUGCGAAAGCGUGGGUAGCAAACAGGAUUAGAUACCCGUGUAGUC